rnacentral:rRNA from 1 species
AUUGAACGCUGGCGGCAUGCUUUACACAUGCAAGUCGAACGGCAGCGCGGGCUUCGGCCUGGCGGCGAGUGGCGAACGGGUGAGUAAUGCAUCGGAACGUGCCCAGUAGUGGGGGAUAGCCCGGCGAAAGCCGGAUUAAUACCGCAUACGAUCUGAGGGUGGAAGCGGGGGACCGAAAGGCCUCGCGCUAUUGUAGCGGCCGGUGUCGGGUUAGCUAGGUGGUGGGGUAAAGGCUUACCAAGGCGACGAUCCGUAGCUGGUCUGAGAGGACGACCAGCCACACUGGGACUGAGACACGGCCCAGACCCCUACGGGAGGCAGCAGUGGGGAAUUUUGGACAAUGGGGGCAACCCUGAUCCAGCCAUGCCGCGGGCGGGAAGAAGGCCUUCGGGUUGUAAACCGCUUUUGUUCGGGAAGAAAUCCUCUGGGCUAAUACCCCGGGGGGAUGACGGUACCGGAAGAAUAAGCACCGGCUAACUACGUG